rnacentral:rRNA from 1 species
GCAGCCGCGGUAAUACGUAGGGUGCGAGCGUUAAUCGGAAUUACUGGGCGUAAAGCGGGCGCAGACGGUUACUUAAGCAGGAUGUGAAAUCCCCGGGCUCAACCUGGGAACUGCGUUCUGAACUGGGUGACUAGAGUGUGUCAGAGGGAGGUAGAAUUCCACGUGUAGCAGUGAAAUGCGUAGAGAUGUGGAGGAAUACCGAUGGCGAAGGCAGCCUCCUGGGAUAACACUGACGUUCAUGCCCGAAAGCGUGGGUAGCAAACAGGAUUAGAUACCCUGGUAGUCCACGCCCUAAACGAUGUCGAUUAGCUGUUGGGCAGCAUGACUGCUUAGUAGCGAAGCUAACGCGUGAAAUCGACCGCCUGGGGAGUACGGUCGCAAGAUUAAAACUCAAAGGAAUUGACGGGGACCCGCACAAGCGGUGGAUGAUGUGGAUUAAUUCGAUGCAACGCGAAAAACCUUACCUACGCUUGACAUGUCCGGAACCCUGAAGAGAUUUGGGGGUGCUCGAAAGAGAGCCGGAACACAGGUGCUGCAUGGCUGUCGUCAGCUCGUGUCGUGAGAUGUUGGGUUAAGUCCCGCAACGAGCGCAACCCUUGUCAUUAGUUGCCAUCAUUAAGUUGGGCACUCUAAUGAGACUGCCGGUGACAAGCCGGAGGAAGGUGGGGAUGACGUCAAGUCCUCAUGGCCCUUAUGACCAGGGCUUCACACGUCAUACAAUGGUCGGUACAGAGGGUAGCCAAGCCGCGAGGUGGAGCCAAUCUCACAAAACCGAUCGUAGUCCGGAUUGCACUCUGCAACUCGAGUGCAUGAAGUCGGAAUCGCUAGUAAUCGCAGGUCAGCAUACUGCGGUGAAUACGUUCCCGGGUCUUGUACACACCGCCCGUCACACCAUGGGAGUG